GACGAACGCUGGCGGCGUGCUUAACACAUGCAAGUCGAACGGAAAGGCCCUGCUUUUGUGGGGUGCUCGAGUGGCGAACGGGUGAGUAACACGUGAGUAACCUGCCCUUGACUUUGGGAUAACUUCAGGAAACUGGGGCUAAUACCGGCUAGGAGCUCCUGCUGCAUGGGGGGGGUUGGAAAGUUUCGGCGGUUGGGGAUGGACUCGCGGCUUAUCAGCUUGUUGGUGGGGUAGUGGCUUACCAAGGCUUUGGCGGGUAGCCGGCCUGAGUGGGUGACCGGCCACAUUGGGACUGAGAUACGGCCCAGACUCCUACGGGAGGCAGCAGUGGGGAAUAUUGCACAAUGGGCGGAAGCCUGAUGCAGCAACGCCGCGUGCGGGAUGACGGCCUUCGGGUUGUAAACCGCUUUCGCCUGUGACGAAGCGUGAGUGACGGUAAUGGGUAAAGAAGCACCGGCUAACUACGUG
rnacentral:rRNA from 1 species